GCGGAGGAAAAGAAACCAACAGGGAUUGCCCUAGUAACGGCGAGUGAAGCGGCAACAGCUCAAAUUUGAAAUCUGGCGCAAGCCCGAGUUGUAAUUUGUAGAGGAUGCUUCUGGGUAGCGGCCGGUCUAAGUUCCUUGGAACAGGACGUCAUAGAGGGUGAGAAUCCCGUAUGUGACUGGCUUGCACCCUCCACGUAGCUCCUUCGACGAGUCGAGUUGUUUGGGAAUGCAGCUCUAAAUGGGAGGUAAAUUUCUUCUAAAGCUAAAUACCGGCCAGAGACCGAUAGCGCACAAGUAGAGUGAUCGAAAGAUGAAAAGCACUUUGGAAAGAGAGUUAAAAAGCACGUGAAAUUGUUGAAAGGGAAGCGCCCGCAACCAGACUUUGCGGCAGUGUUCGGCCGGUCUUCUGACCGGUUUACUCGCUGUCGUGAGGCCAUCAUCGUCUGGGACCGCUGGAUAAGACCUUAGGAAUGUGGCUCCCCUCGGGGAGUGUUAUAGCCUCUGGUGAUGCAGCGCGUCUCGGGCGAGGUCCGCGCUUCGGCAAGGAUGAUGGCGUAAUGGUUGUCGGCGGCCCGUCUUGAAACACGGACCAAGGAGUCUAACAUCUAUGCGAGUGUUCGGGUGUCAAACCCCUACGCGUAAUGAAAGUGAACGGAGGUGGGAACUUUUUGUGCACCAUCGACCGAUCCUGAUGUCCUCGGAUGGAUUUGAGUAAGAGCAUAGCUGUUGGGACCCGAAAGAUGGUGAACUAUGCCUGAAUAGGGUGAAGCCAGAGGAAACUCUGGUGGAGGCUCGCAGCGGUUCUGACGUGCAAAUCGAUCGUCAAAUUUGGGUAUAGGGGCGAAAGACUAAUCGAACCAUCUAGUAGCUGGUUCCUG
rnacentral:rRNA from 1 species